GGCAGUCGUGGCCUAAUGGUUAGAGUUAGAGACUUAUAACCCGAAGGUGAACCUGAAGGUUGUGCGUUCGAAUCUCAGGUCUGUCA